rnacentral:rRNA from 1 species
UACGUAGGGGGCUAGCGUUGUCCGGAUUUAUUGGGCGUAAAGAGCGUGUAGGCGGCCAGGUAGGUCCGUUGUGAAAACUCGAGGCUCAACCUCGAGACGUCGGCGGAAACCCUCUGGCUAGAGUCCGGAAGAGGAGAGUGGAAUUCCUGGUGUAGCGGUGAAAUGCGCAGAUAUCGGGAGGAACACCUAUGGCGAAGGCAGCUCGCUGGGACGUUACUGACGCUGAGACGCGAAAGCGUGGGGAGCAAACAGG